AUGGCGGAUUUAAAUCAGUUUGUUGAAAAAAUGAUAGAAUUGUUAAAUUUGGAAAGGCAAGCUGAAAUAAACGAAUCUAAAGCAUUUUACCAAAAUUCCGAUAACGCAACCUUGGAAAAUAAAGGUGUUUGCUUGAGAAAAAUGGUUCUAUUUAGUCAGAAAACUGGUUUAUAUGGCCGAACUUUGGUGACUCUGGGCAAAGGAAAUGUGGAGCAUUCUGUGAAGAAAUUUCCUUUACCAGCCCAUUGCAUUACAACUGGUGACAUUGUUGGUUUGUCCUAUUCCUCUGAAGACAAUAAUGUUGCAGAAUUAUCAUCAGGGAUUGUUACUCGAGUGUCCGAGACAUCAAUUGUCAUUGCAUUUGAGGAAGCUUUUGAUUCGCAGGCAAUUGAGGAGGAUAGAUUAAUGAGAAUCACUCGUUUAGCUAAUGAUGUCACCUUUAAACGGAUGAAACGAGCCCUGGAGACGCUUCAAAACACACCUUCCUCGUAUUGUUCAUCCCAUUUGAUCUCCGUACUUUUUGGUGCAAUGCCACUGUCAGAACCCCUAAACCUGUCAAGCUUACAGCAAAGACCAGAUGACUUGAUGCAAAAACAGAAAGAUUUUUUUAAUGGGAAUCUCAAUGAAAGCCAGCAGGAUGCGGUGAGGUUUGCCCUGUCAAGUCGGCAUGUGGGGGUUGUGCAUGGUCCUCCUGGCACAGGAAAAACAACCACAAUUGUUGAGGUCAUUGUUCAAGCUGUGAAGAAUUUUGGUUGGAAGAUACUGGCUUGUGCUCCAUCGAACAUUGCUGUUGAUAAUAUUUUGGAAAGACUGAUUAAAUAUAAAAUUAAAGCUGUGCGUUUGGGUCAUCCAGCUCGCUUGAUGGAGAAGAUUCACAGUCACUCUUUGGCUGCCAUUUUGGAUUCGUCUCACGACACAGCAAUCGUGAAGGAUGUUAGACGAGAUAUCGAUACUGCAAUGCGUAAUCUUCAAGGCAGUAGAAACUCUGGCGAGCGAUCUCGUCUGCGGACAGAGCUGAAGACACUGCGUAAAGAGCUGAGAGAACGCGAGGAGAAAGCCUUAAAACACAUCCUCCACAAUGCUCAAGUUAUACUAUCGACGAAUGUCUCGGCCUCUGACGACGGACCAUUGAAACAUCUUCCAAGAGAUCAUUUCGAUUUGGUUGUGAUUGACGAGGCUGCUCAGUCUUUGGAGGCAGCGUGUUGGAUACCGUUGCUAUGGGCACCGAGAUGCAUUCUCGCUGGAGAUCAUAAGCAGCUGCCGCCAACUAUAAUGUCACGUGACGCUGCCCGGCGAGGACUGGAACAGACUUUGAUGGAAAGAAUCAUAGAGAUGUUUGGUGAUAAAGUUGUUCAUAUGUUGACAACACAGUACAGAAUGAACAAAGCCAUAAUGAAGUGGUCAUCGGACAGGCUUUAUGACGGGAAACUGCUGGCCGAUGUGUCCGUGGCGCAACAUUUAUUAUGUCACAUACCGGAGGUGAACGAUACCGAACUAACGUCAUUGCCUUUGUUGAUGAUUGAUACCGCUGGAUGUGAUCUGUACGAACUGCGGUCGCAAGACGAGGAAUCUAAAGGUAACGAAGGCGAGGCUGAUGUCGUGGCCGCGCAUGUCAGCGGUCUGGUGGACAGCGGUGUGAAGCAACAAGACAUAGGAGUCAUAACGCCCUACAACCUCCAGGUAGAACUUCUAAGGUCUCGUUUAUCCACCAAGUACCCAGCACUUGAGAUCAAAUCCGUGGAUGGUUUUCAGGGACGCGAGAAAGAAGCUGUUGUAAUUUCAAUGGUUCGGUCAAAUACGAAAGGUGAAAUUGGGUUCUUGGCCGAGAACCGACGAAUGAACGUAGCGGUUACGAGAGCACGUCGACAUUUAACGAUUGUCGGCGAUUCAACUACAGUUAGUCACGAUCAGUUUCUUCGCGCUCGCUUUGACUAUAUUAACGCCCACGGUGAGGUAUGGUCAGCUGAACAAUACAGGUCUUGUAUAAGCGGGGAAACGACUCAACGUUCAGUAAAAAAAGACAGCAUGAAACAGGCAAAGGAUGAGAAAUCUAAGACGAAAAAUUCGAAGCAAAACAAAGCGAAAUGCAACGUUUCGCGGCCAGAAAAACUAAAAAAUUUCCAAAUGUCUAAACCGAAAAUUGACUGUAACGAAGGUUGGACAGAAGUAUACAACGGGGGACACCUCGUUGGAUAGCAGAGAACAAAAACGUACAGAUGAGGAUAAUGCGAAAAAACUUGAGCAGCAAAUCAAAGAGUUCCUAAUUGAUCCAAAGAGAUCCCAACUCGAGUUUCCCGCCAAUUUAAACUCUUACGAGCGUUUUACAGUCCAUCGUAUCGCGGAAGAGUCUGGGCUUGAGCACGUGAGCAAGGGGACUGGUACAGAGCGGUUCAUCGCUGUCGCUAAGAAACCACCAUCAAUUAAUGAUAUCAAUGAUGACGAAAUAUUGACGAAACAGCCCGAAUGCAGAGCGGAAGAAACCGAGAUUCAACCGAAUGACAACACGAGCAUUUGUGUAUUUUGCCUAAAGAGAAUACCAUCGUCAAACAUGAGCUUACAUGAAGCCAGGUGCCUACGAGAAACCCAACGGCCGCUGAAGACAUGUAACAUAUCGGGAUCAGUGGGUAAAAUGUCUGCAGUAAAAAGAAGGGCAAAAAAGGCGGCAAUGCCAAAAAGGACGAGAAAAGGGAAAAUACGGGAAUCGAGAAAAGUAGUGAAGAUUGGG